rnacentral:rRNA from 1 species
UACGUAGGGCGCGAGCGUUGUCCGGAUUUAUUGGGCGUAAAGAGCUCGUAGGCGGCUUGUUGCGUCGACCGUGAAAACUUGGGGCUCAACCCCAAGCCUGCGGUCGAUACUGGCAGGCUCGAGUUCGGUAGGGGAGACUGGAAUUCCUGGUGUAGCGGUGAAAUGCGCAGAUAUCAGGAGGAACACCGGUGGCGAAGGCGGGUCUCUGGGCCGAUACUGACGCUGAGGAGCGAAAGCGUGGGGAGCGAACAGG